rnacentral:rRNA from 1 species
AGCGAACGCUGGCGGCAGGCUUAACACAUGCAAGUCGAACGCCCCGCAAGGGGAGUGGCAGACGGGUGAGUAACACGUGGGAACGUACCCUUUGGUUCGGAAUAACUUGGGGAAACUCAAGCUAAUCCCGGAUAAGCCCUAAUGGGGACAGGUUGACUGCCGAAGGAUCGGCCCGCGUCUGGUUAGCUAGUUGGUGAGUUAAUGGCUCACCAAGGCGACGAUCAGUAGCUGGGCUGAGAGUAUGAUCAGCCACACUGGGACUGAGAAACGGCCCAGACUCCUACGGGAGGCAGCAGUGGGGAAUAUUGGACAAUGGGGGCAACCCUGAUCCAGCCAUGCCGCGUGAGUGAUGAAGGCCUUAGGGUUGUAAAGCUCUUUUACCCGGGACGAUAAUGACUGUACCGGGAGAAUAAGCCCAGGCUAACUUCGUGCCAGCCGCCGCAGUAA